rnacentral:rRNA from 1 species
GUAGGGCGCGAGCGUUGUCCGGAAUUAUUGGGCGUAAAGAGCUCGUAGGCGGCUUGUCGCGUCGGAUGUGAAAGCCCGGGGCUUAACCCCGGGUCUGCAUUCGAUACGGGCAGGCUAGAGUUCGGUAGGGGAGAUCGGAAUUCCUGGUGUAGCGGUGAAAUGCGCAGAUAUCAGGAGGAACACCGGUGGCGAAGGCGGAUCUCUGGGCCGAUACUGACGCUGAGGAGCGAAAGCGUGGGGAGCGAACAGGAUUAGAUACCCUGGUAGUCCACGCCGUAAACGUUGGGAACUAGGUGUGGGCGACAUUCCACGUUGUCCGUGCCGCAGCUAACGCAUUAAGUUCCCCGCCUGGGGAGUACGGCCGCAAGGCUAAA